AGAGGCAAUAGGGCCGGGCCUUGUGAAGCUUGGGAAGCCACUGUUGAGGCCUAGUGUUUCCUUGAGUGGAGUGUUUGCCAGAGCAGUCGGGGUGGGGCAGGAGGGCCCAGCUGAGAGAAGGGUGCAGUUUGUCCCCAGACUAUUUCUUCAUCUAUGGUUGACCCUCCCCACCCUGCUUUGCUGAUGCAUCCUCUGCAGUGGGUAAAGAGCAGGAACUUUCAAUCUUGCUGUGUGACUGAUGGGGCAUCUACCAUGCCUCUGCUUGUUUAGCGUCCUUCACAGAAACCCAUGAGAAAUCUUUGGGGAUGAAAAGGGACUCCUGUCAUUGUGAUGCCGUCUGCCAGGAGCCCACCACCAGAGCCCACACAGACCAGGUCACCUGAUCUUGGACUUCCACCCCAGAACUGUGAGCUAAAUACCUUAAAAAUAUAAAAUACCCAGCCUUAUAUAUCAAAAUACAGAAAAUGGACCAAGACGAGUUUCCAUCAGAAGAGAGAGGAAACUGAAGCUCCAAGAGGGGAAAUGACCUACCCAAGGUUAUCCAGAGCCUUUGUGGACUGCAGAAAUUGGAAAACAGACCUUGGGACACUCAGGCCAUUUCUCUUUUCUAAUAAGUGAAGCUGCAGAACUCAAGCCUAAGAGCAUCUACUGAACCCCUACCAUUUUGAUGGAGCACUUCUGCUUACUCUACUGGGUAGAACUGGCUGUGAUAGUUGCAGUGAACACUGAGGAAUUUGCUCAGCUAUGGCGGGGAUUCUGUUACUGCAGAGGAAGGAGAAAACUGACUGGGAACGAUGAGCAGUCUCUUCUACAAACUCCACAAAGGACGCACAAUGAACUAUUGUCAUCUUCUAACAGAGGGACUGAAUAAGAGAGAAAGGAGAUAGCAAAUAUGACAAACUGCUAAAAGUUGGUGAAUUUGGCUAUGUGGGAGUUUCCUGUUCUUGCAACUUUUCUGUAAGGUUCAGAAAAUAAUUUGUAUACAGACACUCUGUUGGAAGCGGUAAGGUGCAGAACCUGUCACAUCUGACUGCAGAACUCACACCCACCCACCCUCCAUGGUCCUCAGCCUGCAGCCCUGGCAUCUGCAGCACCAGGAAAUUUGCUCAGAAAAUCCAGACUCUCCAUCCCAGAAACCAGGGACCAGGCCAGGUCAUGGCUGUUUUAGUGAACUCCAUCCACUCAGAUAAUUACGAUGCUUGGCAAAUUAUUAGAACCAUUGCUCGAGCCACUUCCUGCUUUUAACACUCAUAACAAGCAGGGAUUAGGACUAGGGAUAAUUAACACCACUGGAUUGCUUAGGCAACUUAAAGUCAGAAGAAUCACGUGUUUAAGGAUCAAUCAACUAGAAAGCGCUAGAGCCAGGCUUUGAACCCAGCACACCAUUGCCUACAAGCAGCCUCUACAAAGGCUCUGCCAUCCAGAAAUAGAAGACAAGGACCCUGGUGUGGGAGACUCAGAAGGAGGGUGGCAAAGGAGGAUACGUAUGAGAAAAUCAGACAAACCUGAGCUCUU